ACUCUAAUAGUUUAUAAAAACAUUGGUCUUGUAAACCAAAGAAUGAAGGCCCACAACCUUCUUAGAGUU
rnacentral:tRNA from 3 species